rnacentral:tmRNA from 1 species
CCUCUUUUCAGCCGCCCUCCCUGCCCCUAUAUUCAGUGUGCCGGUGCAAGCCGGCUAUGGCGAUAAACGGACUUCGAAAUAAGCCUAUCGGACCCGGGGGCGGUACCCGGCGCCUCCACCCAAGCCCGCCGCGCGACACGGUCUGCCGGCGGGUUUCGGCGGGGGCGAAAUAGGAUCGACGAGGGUGUAAAGGUCGUUCUUUUGCUCGGCAUGGUUCCGCCGUUAUCGGGCCGUCUCAAUAGUUGCAAAUGACAACUAUGCUAUGGACAACGCUGUCGCCGCGUAAUGCGGUGCCGGUAGUCCUUUAAGCCCUGGCGGUUAGCCCCGUCAGGCGGGGUCCGGAGGCACCUGGCAACAGAAGCCUCCACU